rnacentral:lncRNA from 1 species
GAGCAGAAUAAUAAAACAAUUUAAAACAUAUGAUAACAUGGAAUGCAUCACAACACAGCUAAUCACAUCAAGGAUGAAUUUGUCACCAAUAGUCCCCUACAUGGACCAACUGUGCCAGGGGCAUAGAAUGGGCCUCACUGGUCUUUCUCUUACAUAACAUAACAUAACAUGGUCCAACUGUGCCAGGGGCGUAGAAUGGGCCUCACUGGUCUUUCUCUUACAUAGUGCCAGGGGCGUAGAAUGGGCCUCACUAGUCUUCCGUACCGUAUCAUCAUCAUCAUAGCAUAAGGGGACUAAUGGAUCAUUCAACAUCCAUCCACAUCAUCAAACAUAAUAUGCAAUGCAACAUAUUCG